UUAAUUUUGUUUUGUUUUCCCUAACCUAUAUUGCAAAUUUCUUAUCGAUUUUUUUUGUCAUAGUGCUUAGUGUUGACUCUGUUGUCUAUACUAUUCGGUACUACGCUAAUUUUGAGUUCAAAAACAAACAUUUUAGUGUUUGAUUUUCAAUUUCUAGUAAACUGUUCAGUGAUUUCUUUCCUUUAUAAUUUCUUUUUUAGCUGCUGCAGUGUGUGUUUACGAUAAUUAUGGCAACACUAAGCCAACAAAAUGCAAUCUGCGAAGUCUGCGAGAAGGAGUUUCAGGAAGGAAGUUUCACCCAGAACUUUUUGGCCAGGCAUACAAGGAACACAUUAUAUGUACCAACGAUACCUAGACAUUUUCUUAUUUUAAUAGUUUAAACAAACAUUUUUGUUUAAUAUCCACAAAAUACAGAUAAAACAAUAAUUUUUACAUUUUAGGAAUUUUGAAGAAUAUACCUCUUAUAGAGAACAAAGUAAUAGGGAAGUCGAUUAUGCUUGUCAGAUCCAAAAUAAAUUUGAGAAUGGAGGAUAACAUAUAUUUUACAAUUGUAACAGGAGAAACAUCAGAGGAUUUAAUAGCUUAUGUAAAAUGAGAAACAUUAAGUCUGGGGGAAGCAUAUGCAUCAAGGGACAUGCCCCUCAAGAAUUUUAGUUAAGGCUUUAAAGAAUGGAUCAGUUGUGAUCAGAAGUGCUAGUUUAUAAUAUUAUAUAACCAUAUUUAUAAUAUGAUUAUAAACAAGCUGGAUGGAUUUAGUUUCUUCUCUACCAUUUUAAGUUGUUGAUAUAAUAUAAUAUAAUAUAAUACAUUUUAAUAUAGUAUAGAGUCCA